AGAGAGAGACAUGCGCGCAUAUCAAUAAGCGGAGGAAAAGAAACUAACAAGGAUUCCCUUAGUAACGGCGAGUGAAGCGGGAAGAGCUCAAAUUUGAAAUCUUCAAGGUUUUACCUUGACGAAUUGUAGUUUAAAGAAGUGUUUUCUGCUGAAGUUUUGGUAAAAGUUCUUUGGAAUAGGACAUCAUAGAGGGGUGAGAAUCCCGUAUUUGACCAUUAUUUUCAGCUUUGUGAUACACUUUCAAAGAGUCGGAUUGUUUGGGAAUGCAGUCCAAAAUGGGUGGUAAAUUUCAUCUAAAGCUAAAUAUUGGCGAGAGACCGAUAGCGAACAAGUACCGUGAGGGAAAGAUGAAAAGAACUUUGAAAAGAGAGUUAAACAGUACGUGAAAUUGUCAAAAGGGAAGCGUUUGACACCAGUGUUGUUUUCUCGAAAAUCAAUUAAAAAUGGCUCGAUUUUGUAUUGUUGAGACCUUAAAAGCUCACUGUACAUUUUUCGUGUCUUUUUUAAUGCACUUUUCGCUUAACAAGUCAACAUCAGUUUCUUUUGUUGUAAAAGGGUCAUUGGAAGGUGGCUUUCUUUUCGGAGAAAGUGUUUAUAGCCUUUGGCCUCUGCAAUCGGAGAGACUGAGGUCUGCAGCGUAGCCUCUUCGGGGUUAGAUACAUUUGUGCUAAGUUAUAGCUUUUUAUAGACAACUUGUUGACUAUAAUUAGUCUUGUAGCUUACUCGCUUAUGCUAUUUUACCUACGCUUAGGAUGUUGAGUCGUAGAGCACGCA
rnacentral:rRNA from 1 species